rnacentral:rRNA from 1 species
GGGCCCGCACAAGCGGUGGAGCAUGUGGUUUAAUUCGAUGCAACGCGAAGAACCUUACCUACCCUUGACAUCCUGCGAAGUCUUUAGAGAUAGAGAUGUGUCUUCGGAAACGCAGUGACAGGUGCUGCAUGGCUGUCGUCAGCUCGUGUCGUGAGAUGUUGGGUUAAGUCCCGUAACGAGCGCAACCCUUAUACUUAGUUGCCAUCACGUUUGGGUGGGCACUCUAGGGAAACUGCCGGUGCUAAGCCGGAGGAAGGCGGGGAUGACGUCAAGUCCUCAUGGCCCUUACGGGUAGGGCUACACACGUGCUACAAUGGCAGUGACAAUGGGAUAAUCCCCAAAAGCUGUCUCAGUUCGGAUUGUCGGCUGCAACUCGCCGGCAUG